rnacentral:tRNA from 2 species
GCCGAUAUGGCUCAAUUGGCAGAGCAGCUGAUUUGUAAUCAGCAGGUUGACGGUUCGAGUCCGCCUAUCGGCU